rnacentral:ribozyme from 1 species
GAAGGAAAGAAUAAAAGAGAAAAAAAAAAAAAAAAAAAAAAA